CUACGGGAUGCUGCAGUGGGGAAUCUUAGACAAUGGGGGAAACCCUGAUCUAGCCAUGCCGCGUGAGCGACGACGGCCCUAGGGUUGUAAAGCUCUUUCAGCAGGGAAGAUAAUGACGGUACCUGCAGAAGAAGUCCCGGCUAACUCCGUGCCAGCAGCCGCGGUAAUACGGAGGGGACUAGCGUUGUUCGGAAUUACUGGGCGUAAAGCGCGCGUAGGCGGAUUGUUAAGUCGGGGGUGAAAUCCCGGGGCUCAACCCCGGAACUGCCCUCGAUACUGGCAGUCUUGAGUUCGAGAGAGGUGAGUGGAAUUCCGAGUGUAGAGGUGAAAUUCGUAGAUAUUCGGAGGAACACCAGUGGCGAAGGCGGCUCACUGGCUCGAUACUGACGCUGAGGUGCGAAAGCGUGGGGAGCAAACAGGAUUAGAUACCGCGUAGUC
rnacentral:rRNA from 1 species